UGUGCAUUCUGUUGCAAGCUUUGGUUCUUUGGAAUAUAAGACGUUUGAAACUAUUGCUUUGCUGAAAACAUCUGACUGCCAGGCUAGGAUGUGACACUUAAGGGACCAGGGAUCAUUUACAUACUGUGGUCUUGCAUUACUGCGAUGAAAUCUUCCACCACUCCCACCACCCACUACAAGAGAUGGAAUUAAUUGAAACUACAGCCUUCAAGAGACAUUUGGAGCAAUACUCUUCCAGUUCUUUCUUCCACAUUUUAUUUGUGGGUACAGCGUCUCCCAGGAUGUAGUGUGCUGUAAUUAUUCUUCCACCCUUUUAUUUUCUGGGAGUUUCUCUAUCUGAAUAGCACAGAAAUAUUAGUGGAUAGGAAGGGAAUAUAAUAUUCUAUCCAUCUGAAAAUUAACACCCAUGUUGAACAGAAUCCCUUUUCAGUUUCCUGUUUACUACAGGGUCCAAAUCUCUGAGCUGAGCUGUGCAGCAGAUAAUAGGAGAAGAAAAAAAGAUACCUGCUCCUCUUUCAAGGACGUGGACUUUUCUGUUUUGUGAAGUGAUACUUGGAUAGGCUACUGGAUAUUUUCUCAUUCUUGACUCAUCAACCUUAUAAUUGGUCUAAGUUUUUCCCAAAUUUGUAGCUCUGGAUUUCCUGUCACUCCUAGUUUUCUGUGUUAAAGUUUUCCAUUUUGAUAUGUAUGAUAUUGACAACUGGGAGAGGCAGUGCCCAGGGGAUGGUAGCCAGAUGCCAUUUUGUACCAGAAGUCUUUUAUUAUCUACAUUUAAUGGUUAUAAAUAAUGAAUGCC
ensembl:lncRNA LINC01122 long intergenic non-protein coding RNA 1122